AAUAUGGUUGAUCCUGCCAGUAGUCAUAUGCUUGUCUUAAAGAUUAAGCCAUGCAUGUCUAAGUAUAAAUAGUAUACAGUGAAACUGCGAAUGGCUCAUUAAAACAGUUAUAGUUUAUUUGAUAGUGCAAAUUACAUGGAUAACCGUGGUAAUUCUAGAGCUAAUACAUGCGCAAAUACCGGACGCAAGAAUGGUAGCAUUUAUUAGAUUUAACCAUCACAUGGUGAAUCAUAGUAACUUAGCUGACCGCGCGCAAGCGUGGUAAAUCAUUCAAGUUUCUGCCCUAUCAGCUUUCGAUGGUAGUGUAUUGGACUACCAUGGCAGUCACGGGUAACGGAGAAUUAGGGUUCGAUUCCGGAGAGGGAGCCUGAGAAACGGCUACCACAUCUAAGGAAGGCAGCAGGCGCGUAAAUUACCCAAUCCCGAUUCGGGGAGGUAGUGACAAGAAAUAGCAACUCGGGCGGUUAUCCGUUACGGGAUUGCAAUGAGAUAAGUCCAAAUCCGUAAACGAUUAACAAUUGGAGGGCAAGUCUGGUGCCAGCAGCCGCGGUAAUUCCAGCUCCAAUAGCGUAUACUUAAGUUGUUGCAGUUAAAAAGCUCGUAGUUGAAAUUCGAAUUAGCUGAUAGAGGGCUUAGGCUAUCUAGCAGUUGGUUCUCCGUCUACAAUCCCUCUUGGGCUUCAGGGUUGCAGAGGGCUGAGUAGACAAUUUACCUUGAAAAAAUUAGAGUGUUCCAGGCAGGUUUUCGCCGGAAUACAUUAGCAUGGAAUAAUGGAAUAGGACUUAGGUCUUUUGUUGGUUUUAGGACUUGAGUAAUGAUUAAUAGGGACAGAUGGGGGCAUUAGUAUUUAAUUGUCAGAGGUGAAAUUCUUGGAUUUAUUAAAAGACUUAACUUUAUGCGAAAAGCAUUUGCCCAAGGAUGUUUUUCAUUAAUUCAAGAACGAAAGUUAGGGGAUCAAAGACGAUCAGAUACCGUCGUAGUCUUAACUAUAAACUAUACCGACUCGGGAUCGGAAGGGUAAUAUUUAAGGCCCUUUCGGCACCGUAAGAGAAAUCAAAGUCUUUGGGUUCUGGGGGGAGUAUGGUCGCAAGGCUGAAACUUAAAGGAAUUGACGGAAGGGCACCACCAGGAGUGGAGCCUGCGGCUUAAUUUGACUCAACACGGGGAAACUUACCAGGUCAAAACAUGGAUGGGAUUGACAGAUUGAAAGCUCUUUCUUGAUUCUAUGGGUGGUGGUGCAUGGCCGUUCUUAGUUGGUGGAGUGAUUUGUCUGGUUAAUUCCGAUAACGAACGAGACCUUAACCUGCUAACUAGUUUGCUCCUGCAUAAGGGGUAUAACUUCUUAGAGGGACUAUGUAUGUUAAAUACAUGGAAGUUUAAGGCAAUAACAGGUCUGUGAUGCCCCUAGACGUCCUGGGCCGCACGCGCGCUACACUGACACGUUCAGCGAGCUUAUUUACCUGUCUCGAAAGAGUAUGGGAAAUCUUGUUAGGACGUGUCGUGCUGGGGAUAGAUCUUUGCAAUUAUAGAUCUUGAACGAGGAAUUCCUUGUAAGCAUAGGUCAUCAGCCUGUGCUGAAUACGUCCCUGCCCUUUGUACACACCGCCCGUCGCUCCUACCGAUUUCGAGUGAUGUGGUGAACUAUCUGGACUGCGAUUGGGCUUGAACCAGUUGCGGGAAGUUUCGUAAACCUUAUCACUUAGAGGAAGGAGAAGUCGUAACAAGGUUUCCGUAGGUGAACCUGCAGAAGGAUCA
rnacentral:rRNA from 1 species